UAUCUCUGUAGAGUCUGCAUAUCAAUAAGCGGAGGAAAAGAAACUAACUAGGAUUCCCUCAGUAACGGCGAGUGAAGCGGGAAGAGCUCAAAUUUGAAAUCUUCAAGGUUUUACCUUGACGAAUUGUAGUUUAAAGAAGUGUUUUCUGUUGGAGUUUUGGUAAAAGUUCUUUGGAAAUAGGACAUCAUAGAGGGUGAGAAUCCCGUAUUUGACCAUUAUUUCCAACUUUGUGAUACACUUUCAAAGAGUCGGAUUGUUUGGGAAUGCAGUCCAAAAUGGGUGGUAAAUUUCAUCUAAAGCUAAAUACUGGCGAGAGACCGAUAGCGAACAAGUACCGUGAGGGAAAGAUGAAAAGAACUUUGAAAAGAGAGUUAAACAGUACGUGAAAUUGUCAAAAGGGAAGCGUUUGACACCAGUGUUGGUUUCUCGAAAAUCAAUUAAAAAAGGAUUGGAUUUUGUGUUGUAUUGACUUUAUCAGCUUUCUGCACUCUUUUCCUUGUCUUUUUUAAUGCACUUUUCGUUUAACAAGUCAACAUCAAUUUCUUUUGUUGUAAAAGGGUCAUUGGAAGGUGGCUUUCUUUUCGGAGAAAGUGUUUAUAGCCUUUGACUUCUGCAAUCGGAGAGAUUGAGGUCUGCAGCGUAGAUCCUUCGGGGUUAGAUAGCAUUUGUGCUAAGUUAUAGCCUUUCAUAGACAACUUGUUGACUAUGAUCAGUCAUGUAGCUUACUCGCUUAUGCUAUUUUACCUACGCUUAGGAUGUUGAUCUCUCACAGUCGAGC
rnacentral:rRNA from 1 species